GAGUUGGUACCUCAGUGGUAGAGUGCAUGUUUUGUAUGUAUGAUGUCCUCAGGUUUUUCCUGGUCGAAUCU